rnacentral:rRNA from 1 species
ACAUGCAAGUCGAGCGGAGUAAAUGGGAGCUUGCUCCCAUUUCUCAGCGGCGGACGGGUGAGUAACACGUGGGCAACCUGCCCUAGAGACUGGGAUAACUCCGGGAAACCGGAGCUAAUACCGGGUAAUACAUAGCAUCGCAUGAUGCAACGUUGAAAGUUGGCCUUUGGCUAACACUGUAGGAUGGGCCCGCGGCGCAUUAGCUAGUUGGUAAGGUAACGGCUUACCAAGGCCACGAUGCGUAGCCGACCUGAGAGGGUGAUCGGCCACACUGGGACUGAGACACGGCCCAGACUCCUACGGGAGGCAGCAGUAGGGAAUCUUCCGCAAUGGACGAAAGUCUGACGGAGCAACGCCGCGUGAGUGACGAAGGCCUUCGGGUCGUAAAGCUCUGUUGUUAGGGAAGAACAAGUACCGUUCGAAUAGGGCGGUACCUUGACGGUACCUAACCAGAAAGCCACGGCUAACUACGUGCCAGCAGCCGCGGUAAUACGUAGGUGGCAAGCGUUGUCCGGAAUUAUUGGGCGUAAAGCGCGCGCAGGCGGUCUCUUAAGUCUGAUGUGAAAGCCCACGGCUCAACCGUGGAGGGCCAUUGGAAACUGGGGGACUUGAUGUGCAGAAGAGGAGAGUGGAAUUCCACGUGUAGCGGUGAAAUGCCCUAGAUAUGUGGAGGAACACCAGUGGCGGAAGGCGUGCUCCUGCUGCUAGCUGUAACUUACGCUGAGUGACGCGC